rnacentral:lncRNA from 10 species
GAGCUCCACCCCCACUUUGGGUAACCGUGAGUUGGGGUGGGGUCUUGGCCUUGCCCGCAGCUGGCGUCCGUAUGUCGUUAGAGCACUGGGAAAGGGGGCGGGCUGCUGGCUGGGAGGGGUCGGCGCGGUUUCUGGCGCGCCACCGGAAGGGCGUUAUCCUGGGGGAACUGAGAGUGGAAACUUUCCUCCCGGGAAAGGAAGAAACCCGACUGGAGAAAGAUGGGGUCUCGCCAUGUCACCCACGCUGGUCUUGAACUCCUGGGCUCAAGCGAUCCUCCUGCCCCAGCCUUCCAAAGUACUGGGAUUACAGGUGUGAACCAAUAUGCCCAGCCAUAUUUUUGAUGAAUCUCAAGAGAAACGGAAGGGGCACUGCAAAAUGACUGAUUAGAUUUCUAAUUAUCCGGGGUAUGGAACAGGCUGACAGAGCUGGAUCCAAAGGGCUCAGAAUGGAGCAACCAAGGUGUAUUCACCUGAUGCUUUGGUCUCCCUAAGCUCUUCCAUAGAAACGAUCAUAUAUCACCUCGGCAAUUGUUUUACGAUUUCUCACUGUGUUUCUCAGAAUGGUCUCAGACUCCUGGCCUCAAGCGAUCCUUCUGCCUGAGCCUCCCAAAGUGCCGGGAUUACAGGCAUGAACCACUGCACUCAGCCUGUUUUCAACCUUAUAUAAAUGGAAUCCUACUGUAUGUGCUUUUUGAUAUCUGGGCUCCUUUGCUCUAUAUUAUGUCUGUGAGAUUAAUAAACUUGUUUGUUCAGUUACGUUACUGCUGUGUAGCAUUCUAUUGUAU